rnacentral:tRNA from 1 species
GGUCCCAUCGUCUAGUGGUCUAGGACACCGCCCUUUCAAGGCGGCGGCACGGGUUCGAAUCCCGUUGGGACCG